UAUUCGCUGUCACACAUUGGUGGCAGCGGUGGGAUACACACACACACACACACACACACACACACACACACACACACACACACACACAACUGGGUGAGCUGUUCAAACCAACAAGUAUAGCCGUUGUUAAUUUAAUGAUAAAAUAAAUAUAUAAAAAACAAAAACAAAACAAAAUAUAUUCCUAGUUAUAAUAAAUACUGCAUAGCCGAACUGUAUAAUAUUGCUACUGAUUAUUAUUAUUAUUAUAUCGCCAUCAUUCAUAAUCAAUCAUACAUACAUACAUACUAUACAUUCACGUGCGAGCCAUUAUUAUUACACAUGAUUUUCUAGAGGCGCCGUCGUUUCCAUGGCAACCAUAUCACGUGUUUUGUUUGUUGGUGUUCCUGCGGCGCGGUGGUUGGUCGGCGUGUGAGGCGAGCGGCCAAUCACAGAAAGGCAGCGGCAAUGUGGACAAAAUGUGUUAUAUGUUUCCCAUUGAGGGCGGAGUUGGGCGGUGUGUGUGUGUGUGUGUGUGUGUGUGUGUGUGUGUGUGUGUGUGUGUGUGUGUGUGUGUGUGUGUGAGGGAAAGAGGGGGUGGAGGGAAGAGGAGACAACCCACAUCCUUACCUUACCUUACUUAACCCUACCUUACCUUGCCUAACCUGACCUGACCUGACCUAACCCUUUCUUUCUUCAAUCCUUUCCUUCCUUCAUCAACCUAGCAUUACCUACCUUUUCCUUGAUUUCCAUCACUUCUUUCCUCCCCUUCUCCAUUUCCUUCAGUUCAAAUAUCUCCCCCUAUCGUUCCUCCUAUCCUCCUCCUCCUCCUCCUCCUCCUCCUCGUCGUCCUCCUCCUCCCUCCUUCCCUCCCUCCCUCAAUAACACAGCUCAGUGAAUCACAAAAUCAAAACCUGAAGUCUUUUUUAAAUAAUACUCGAAAGCAACACAAAAUAUGCAGCGUGAGGUACUUAAGACACCCGAACACAAACACCAACCCUUCAACACCCCCAAAGUACACCCCCCUCCAACCCCUCACCAUCCCCAACACACCCCGAUUCCCCAACCUAACCCAUUCGUGAGGUUUGUAAAAAUAAUGUAGAAAAUGAGUGAGGGGAAAAUUUUUGGGGGAAUUGUGUUACCUGGAAAGUUUUCUUAUCACCUGUUCUUACCUGGCGGGAUUACCUGCUAUAACCUGAUGCACGGCUUACCUGGUGUGUGUUAGAGAGAGAGAGAGAGAGAGAGAGAUUGACUUGUUGAUUCAUAAGACUGCACUUCCUUUCCCACCUUAGCCCCUCCCCUGACCCCCUUUCCUCGCCCCGCCCAUCCCCGCCCUUAACUGUACAGAACGGCGUCCACCCCCCACCCACCCCUCUAGUUACUAUAGGACUGCUUGUGAGUAGUUUUAUAAUUACUAAAUAAAAAAAGAUUAAAGCUACAGAAGGUGAUCCGUUUAGUUAGGUCUUACAGUAACCAGUCUUGUUUUUUAUAUAAAUAUUUUACCUGUAUUUUUGUAAGCGGGAAGUAACUAAGUAAAUAAACAGAGGAAAAAAAACGUGUCUGUACAGAUCAAUAGUUUUCGUCAUUAGUGAGUUUUUCGUGAAUGAAUUAGUGAAGAAAUGUGUAAAAAGAAAUAUGAAAGAGAGAGAGAGAGAGAGAGAGAGAGACAUAUUUAGUUAAAAAGUUAUAUUCGAGGCGGAAGUAUUGUAAUAAUAAUAAUAAUAAUAAUAAUAAUAAUAAUGUUGUAAAGAAUUUUGAAAUAUAACUUUGUAUUAUUAUUAUCAUUAUUAUUUAUUAAGUUAGUUUUUUUUUUUUAUCAUACUUUAGGACUCAUUUGACUCACGGCCACUUCACGCCCUGUACACGUGUGACUCAUGGGUCGUGAGUCACACCUGGGCGAGUCACGGGAAUGAGUCACGGUUCUUUUGAGUCACGAGAAGAUUACGUUCCGCGAGUCACGUUGCUGACUGUCGUGACUCGAUGUCUGUAAUGGAAUCUUGUGUGUUUCCGUGUCAGAUCUGAUAGUUUUAAGUCUUUUUCGUCCAUUUUGUGUUUUCUGUUUGAUUUUUUUUUUUCUUUUUCGUUUUUUUUAUGUAAGUUUGAGUUUUCCCGUUUGUCUGUUUUAUGGUAUAUAUAUUCCUAUACACUUCGUUAUUUGCUGUUGUUCCUAUGUUUUUACCAUCAUUAUUAUUACUAUUAUUACCACUACUACCACUGCUGCUACUACUGUUACUACUCUGACUACCAUUAAUUAAUCUUACCGCUAUAACUAUUUUACGUGUAGUAUGGCCUUUGAACUAUUUAUUAUUAUUACUAUUACCACCACAACUAUUCUCGAGUUCCUAUCAGUUUUAAAAAGCUAAUUUAUCCUAUGAUUUAUUUGGGAGAUUCUUAUUUUCGCGUGUUUAUUUGAGUUCAUUUGUAUGUUUUACCCUUUUUUCCUGUUCCCUUAAACCCUUAAACCCCUUUUUUUCAAUAGAUAUUUACCCAUUCAUCCGCCCUAUCCAUCCGCUCCCUCGCCCCAUGAGACACCCUCCCCCCACACCCCCUCCCCUAAUUCUACCUCCACCUUGUUACAAUCACUUUACAUAUCACAACAGGCUCUAGCUGGUUGAGCACUAACCCCUCCCUCGAUGCUCACUUUUUAUUAUUCUUUCAUUUCCACUCAUAGUUAUCCAUCCAUCCAUCCAUCUGUCCAUCCAUUCGUCUCCUAGUACUCAUCUUUAUCCUUACCCUUCAAAUUCUUCUUUUUAUCGUCUUUUCUCCUUCAAAGUCUUCAUUCUUCCUCUUCUUCUGAUUCCACUGUUUCUUCUUGGCUAAACUGGUAUUUCUAUGUCUCUAUUUGUAUCUAUUUUCUUCUCCUCUUUCUAUUCUUCUUUAUCUUCGUCUCCUUUUUUUUUUUUUCUGUACAUAAGGCGAUAGAUCAGUUUGUUUCUCCUCUUCCCUCAUUUUUUUUUUUUUACUAUUUUUGGAAGUAAAGCAAGAGAAGUGAAGCAAACAGCUGCGAUAGUAAAUAUUUUGGAUAGUUUGAGUUUGUAGCGGAGUUUUUCCUUAGUGUGUAAUUGUAUAACGAUGCGUGUGUGUAUCAUUUGGGUUGUACAGCGUGUUUUGUUUUCCUUCUUUCUUUCAAUACAUGAUAUUUGUGAUAAAUCCUCGUGUUAGUUGUCUCGUUAGUCUUAUUUAUUCAUGUACUAAUUAUUACUUUACUGAGAUUAAUUAACAAACACAUACAAACUCGAUAACAAAAUGCAAAUGUAAAAAAAUAUUAAGAAACGGUAACAUUUCAAAUCGCUAAAACGCAAAGAAAAAUUUUAAAUGUCUGUCUAUUCUUUCUAAUCCUUUUUGUUUAAACACGAGUUGAUCCUUCACACGUCCUUUGUUUCCUCCUUGGCAGCGGCGCACAGGUGAGGGCCAGGCCAGGUGUCAGGUGUACGUACCUCGAGGCGUUCCUUUCCUCCUCCUUUGUGUUCCUUUACCUUUUUGUCAAACUGAGGAAAUGUUACUAUUGGCUACUGAGAAAGUGAGAGUGUGUGUGUGUGUACGUGUGUGGGCGUGUGCUUCUAUGUCCGUGUGUGUUUGUGUGUGUUUGUGUGUUGGUGUGUGCGUAUGUGUGGUGUCCCCAGUUAUUCAUUCCAUCUUAAAAUUCUUUAUGAGGGAAAUUUCGUAAAAGGAAAAAAUGCGACUAUUUAAAGAUGGUGGGAAAAAAAGACUUUGAUGUUUUAUUGUUAUUAUUAUUAUUAUUAUUAUUAUUAUUAUUAUUAUUAUCUAUUUAUGAAUUUCUCCAAGUAUCGAUAAUUUCCCAUGAAGUUCCCGCCACGCACUGUCCACCCGUGCAUUAGUUACAUUAGGCAACCACGCAGCCUUCCCGCCGCGAUGUGGCAACACUGCAAGGCCCACAAAUUAAAGAAAAUAUGGCUUAACACUUGACAUAUUCAUAAUGGGGCGCGUUUUCUGUGAUAUUAGUACAAAUGAGAGAGAGAGAGAGAGAGAGAGAGAGAGAGAGAGAGAGAGUGAAAAGAUGUAAAUAAGAGUGUAUUAACAAACAAUGCAAUUAACGUAUUAAAGUAACGUUUAACUAGAGCAGUAAUGUUAUAAACUCCACACAAGAAGUGAAGGUAUUUGUAUAAAGCAAUAUAAAGAGACUCAUCCUUGUAAAAAUAAAAUUAAUCUAUAGACCUAAAGUUGGCAACAGUUUAGACGCGCGUGUACUGGAGUCGCCAAUUAGCGUUUUGUUAGUUUAUUUUUUUAACGACACCACUUCCAAUAGAGAGACGAAGAUUGGACGCAUUGCUAACUACUAACUAACUACCUCGGGACUGUAAUGAUAACCGUGUCACGCCUCUUAGAUCCCUCUCUGUAAAUUGUGAGUGUUGCCAUCGUCAUCUUAGUGUUCUCUUAUAAGUCACGUUACGCAACAAACCAAAAAAAGUAGAAACCGUGAAGUAGAAACCAGUGUAUGUGUAAAGAGAAACCCACAAACAUUUAGAUUCCCCUUUGUAAAGCGUUGGUGGAAUCUUAGCUUCUUUUUUUUUUUUUUUUUCAUUAUUUACCUAAAGCGGAGACUGAAGAAUACUCAAAAGUAGAAAACAAAAUAGAAACCGAUAGCUAGAGAAUGUGAAGCAAACAAGCAAGCAAACACUAACAAAACAGCCUCCUCGUCGCGUUACACACUUACUCCGCCUUAGUACGUUUCGAUAAGGUUAAUUAGUGAUAUGUUUUGCGUUACUAUUAUUAUUAUUACCGAUACUUAUCUCCGUUAGCUAGUUGGGUUGUUAGUGUUGAUCGUUAGCCUGGAGUGUUGGGGAGGGUGAGGCCAAUGUGAGGAGGAUCGGGCGCUGGAAGAGUGUUGGAACCUGUUAAAGAGUGUUGGAACCUGUCACAAGAGUAUUGGAUUGUGUUAAAGGGUAUUGGAGACUGUUGAAAAGUAUUAGGAUCUGUUGAAGAGUGUUGGUGAUUGUGUUAAGGAAUUUUGGAAUCUAAGGAAUUAUUAUAGUCUUUUUUUCUGAUUCCAUGUGUGUUAAAUUUUAGCUUAGUUUGAGCCUUGAUUGUCAGAAACGAGUUAUUAUUAUUAUUAUUAUUAUUAUUAUUAUUAUUAUUAGUCAAUAUUUACUGAGGCUAUAAUAAAAUGUGACACCUGAACUAAUUAGAUGAUCUGUUUAGUUAAUUCAGAGGAUAAACAUACGCAAAUUACCUUCCAUAGAGGACAGGUGUGUCUCAUGGACUAAUUAACUGUACACAGGUGAGGCAGCUGAGGUGAAAACUACUCACCUGCUGAUGGCUAAUUAACAACACACCUGUAAUUUUGUGUCAAGGUGAUAAUUUACCUGUCGAAUAAACAACAGGUGAGACAGGUAAAGGUCCAUCAGAAGCUCAGGUGUGUAAUUCAAGCCUCACGUAUUAUUAUUAUUAUUAUUAUUAUUAUUAUCAUUAUUAUUGUUAUUGUUGAUGAUGUCCUAGUUUAUAACACGUAUUGGAUUGUGGUGCCGAGAAGUUCGAUGAGCGAGUUGAUUGACGCGAUGGUUGUUAUGUAGUUGGAGUCAGAUCGUUGCGUCGUUGCGUCGUUGAGUGAGCCGCCAGCAGUGAGAUCGUCUGUCAAGUCAAUGGAAUAAGUAGCAUUUUUUACUCAUUACCAGAGAGUUUGUUGGCUUGAUUUUCUAUUUUUAUACGAGUCAUAGUUGAUAUUUAGAACACUGCGUCCAUUUUCUAUAAGUUAGUCUCUUUUUUUUUCAUUUAGUCAAGUGAAAAUGCCCACCACCCUCUUCAUAGGCUGUUGUAGAUUGUGUGUGUGUGUGUGUGUGUGUGUGUGUGUGUGUGUGUGUGUGUGUGUGUGUGUGUGUGUGUGUGUGUGUGUGUUUUCCUUUUGUGUACGUAAAUUCGUAGCUCCGAAACGCACAUGUGGGCUACAUAGACACACACAUGUACACUUUCUUUCACACACACACACACACACACACACACACACACACACACACACACACACAAAAAUAAUGCAAGUGUGUGUGUGUGUGUGUGUGUGUGUGUGUGUGUGUGUGUGUGUGUACUUUUGGUGGUGUGGACAUGCGUGCACCGUUGAUAGGUAGACGAGCGUGCGUGCGUGCAUGGAGGGGGCGUGGCAGCCGCCGUGGGGGGGAGGGGGUGUCCUUUCCUUGUCCCCUGCAAUAAAAUGCGAGCAAUAAGUUCAAGGGUUCCCGAAGCCCCCGCCCUCGCUGCCCGGGGUCGCCGCCCCCUGUGUCCCCCGUGGUUCCCUCGCGCCACACACGCAUCAAGUUAUACAGUGGAUAUCGUGUGCGUACAUGUUCGUGCGUGCGUGUGUGUGCGUGUAGUAGUAUGUGAGCGCGCGCGCCCCCACAUUCCCCUCCCCGGGCAGCGCGCGGCGCGGGCUCUCGGGUUUAUAAUGAUGGAUACAGGUAGCAAUAGGUUGUAAAUAUAUGAAGCAAAAUAAUAAUAAUAAUAAUAAUAUUAAUAUUAAUAAUAAUAAUAAUAUUAAUAAUAAUAAUAAUAAUAAUAUUAAUAAUAAUAAUAUUAAUAAUAAUAAUAAUAAUGAUAACGGAUCCCCCUCCUUUUAAAUGUUUUGAGCCGCGGGGGAGCCUUGGUGAAUGAUGAUAUAUAUAUAUACAUAUAAAAGAUAAAAAAAUGAAUAAAAACUAUUAUAAUACUUAGCGAUUAAGAGUGUGCCGAGCUAGCGUGUCCCCGCCCCCCCUCCCCCUCCCCUGGCGUGAGGCGAGGCGCGGGGGAAGCAGGGAAACACACACCGCUUGGCAUCCUUGUUCAUCUUAUACUGCCUAAUUCUGUCAUGUGAGGCUAAACCGUGAAUCGUUCGUUACCUGCACUGUGUCAACCUCCGCCCGCCCCGCACCCCGCACCCCGAACCCCGCCACCCACACCCUGCCACCACCCAGGCCCCACCGCCUCCCACAAGCCAGUAGGGCCAAGGGGGGGGCGAGGGAUCUGGGUGUUUGUGAGGUGUGAGGUUUGUCUUUUUUUUUUUUUUUCAAUAAUUUCUUUCUCGGGGUUUAAUUUGAAGGGUUUUUUCUCUUUGGGGUUCAGGUUGGGUUGGGUUGAGGUUAGCUUUGUGAAGUUAUAAAUAAAUACAACCCCCCCACACACACACA